rnacentral:rRNA from 1 species
UGGAGGCAGCAGUAGGGAAUUUUCCGCAAUGGGCGAAAGCCUGACGGAGCAAUACCGCGUGAGGGAGGAAGGCUCUUGGGUUGUAAACCUCUUUUCUCAGGGAAGAAAACAAUGACGGUACCUGAGGAAUAAGCAUCGGCUAACUCCGUGCCAGCAGCCGCGGUAAUACGGAGGAUGCAAGCGUUAUCCGGAAUGAUUGGGCGUAAAGCGUCCGCAGGUGGCUGUGUAAGUCUGCUGUCAAAGAGCAAAGCUCAACUUUGUAAAGGCAGUGGAAACUACACGGCUAGAGUGCGUUCGGGGCAGAGGGAAUUCCUGGUGUAGCGGUGAAAUGCGUAGAGAUCAGGAAGAACACCGGUGGCGAAGGCGCUCUGCUAGGCCGCAACUGACACUGAGGGACGAAAGCUAGGGGAGCGAAUGGGAUUAGAUACCCUGGUAGU